UAGCUCAGUUGGUAAAGCACAAACCUCUUAACCUUGUGGACGUGGGUUCAAGCCCCAU
rnacentral:tRNA from 1 species